rnacentral:rRNA from 1 species
GAUGAACGCUGGCGGCGUGCUUAAUACAUGCAAGUCGAGCGAACAGACGAGGCGCUUGUUCCUCUGUCGUUAGCGGCGCAGGGGUGAGAAACACGUGGAUAACCUCCCUAUAAGAGUGGGAUAAUUUGGGGAAACCGGCGCUAAUCCCGGAUAAUAUAUUGAACCGCAUGGUUCAAUGGUGAAUGUCGGCUUUGCUGUAACUUCUCGAUGCUUCCGCGCCUCUUUAGCUAGUUGGUAAGGUAACGGCUUACCAAGGCAACGAUGCGUAGCCGACCGGAGAGGGGGAUCGGCCACACUGGAACUGAGACACGGUCCAGACUCCUACGGGAGGCAGCAGUAGGGAAUCUUCCGCAAUGGGCGAAAGCCUGACGGAGCAACGCCGCGUGAGUGAUGAAGGUCUUCGGAUCGUAAAACUCUGUUAUUAGGGAAGAACAAAUGUGGAAGUAACUGUGCACUUCGUGACGGUACCUAAUCAGAAAGCCACGGCUAACUACGUG